ACAGGGAGGCCUGGCAUGCUACAGUUCAUGGGGUUGCAAAGAGUCGGACACGACUGAGCGACUGAACUGAACUGACUGAUGAUGCUUAGAAGUGGAAUGAAUGGAGAAAGUCUCUGUUUAUUUAGGCAUUAAUGUACUCUUGCUUUCCACAUCAGUCCUCAGAGGAGAAGUGGGGAAAGAGUGAGUCAAAUUAAUCAUGCUGAAGGCAAGUCACAGGCUAGGUCCAAUUUAAUGUCUAUACUUGAUAGAUAAUAUCAUGGCCACACUAGUCAACUUUUAGGUGAAUUCAGACUUUAAUGAAUUUCAGGAUCAGAAGAUUUCUGAGAAGUAUUAAGGCUGAAAAAAAAAAAAAAAAAAACUCCUACUGAACUGAAGAAAAUAAAGCCAAAGAAUCCUAACUUCCAGGAACUGAAGGAACCUCAGCCCCAAUUCCAGAAAAGACUCUGAAAUAAUUCUUACCCACAGAGUUAAACUAGAAGACUCUGUUCAUCAGAGAAUGUCACUCUUUACCCCAGAAAUGAAUGCUAUUUCAAGAACUUACUACUGCCUCUGGAAUCAAGACGGCAACACCAACUCUCUCUGGAAUUUCCUAGCUGCCAGCCUGCUCUGCGGAUUUCAGACUUGCCAGUGUCCACAAUGAGGUGAGCCAGUUCCUUAAAAUCUCUCUCCUUCUCAUUCAUAUUUAUAUAUGAAUAUAAAUAGAAAGAAAAAUUCCAACUCUCUACAUAAGUUUUUUUCUUCUUAAUAUAAUUGAAAAAUUAUAUUGACAUUAUUUUGAGAAUGAAUAAAACCUUAUAAAUAGAUGUAUUCACAUAUCAAGGCUGUUUUUAAAACCAAGUAAACAGAAAUGAAACAUGGGUAGAAAUGUAUGUGUUCAAGGAAUGGGCAUUCUGCCGAGCUCACCAGUGAGGAGUGAGGAUGGUGGCUGUAUGUGGAUUUCAUUUUUAGGUGUCCUGUCGAUUGUUACCCCCUUAAUUCUGUUGGUUCCAACACCUGCUUGUUGGGAGAAUCACUGCCAGAUCUGAAGUGAAGCCCAGACGAAGCCAGCCUUACUUCACCUAAAACACCCUUUGUGGAAAUGCAGUCCAAGCAUUUCAAUAGCUGUGGUUAGUCCACCGUUCAAAAUUGAACCAAGAUUUUGAAGAUUAUGAGAAAGCUUUCCAGAUGCUGAGUCUAUACAUGCAUUCUAUCUGAAAAUCAGUCUACUUAGAUACACAAAGGUUUACCCAGAAAUAAUGAAUGUUCUGUUUUGGCUGCUGCCCAAAGUAAGCAACUAUAAGAGGUUCCAGUAAUUUCUUCCUUCAUGUGCUGAUAUUUAAUAAGUUGGAAAUGUCUUUCUUUCAGUAAACAGAUUUUAUGCCUCAACUUUUAACUCUAAGACAUCUGUAUGGUUAGAGUAGAAUUAUAGAAUACCAAAUGGUUGGUAAGUUCAAAUGCUUCAUUUAAGUCUUUGAUUCCCCAUGUAGCCCCUGAAUUACAAAAUCAUCUCCACAGUAGAGUUUCCUGUUUGGGGACUGUUUUCUACCCUUGCCUUGAAAAGCUAAACUAGUCUGGCCGGUUGGCCUGUUGCUCACAGAGGGUCAUAUUGAGAGGGAGAGGGUGGGAAGAUUUGGGAGAAUGGCAUUGAAACAUGUAAAAUAUCAUGUAUGAAACGAGUUGCCAGUCCAGGUUUGAUGCACGAUACUGGAUGCU